rnacentral:rRNA from 1 species
UACGUAGGGGGGCAAGCGUUGUCCGGAUUUAUUGGGCGUAAAGAGCGUGUAGGCGGCUUUACAGGUCCGUUGUGAAAACUCGAGGCUUAACCUCGAGCUGUCGGCGGAAACCAUCUGGCUAGAGUCCGGAAGAGGAGAAUGGAAUUCCCGGUGUAGCGGUGAAAUGCGCAGAUAUCGGGAAGAACACCCGUGGCGAAGGCGGUUCUCUGGGACGGUACUGACGCUGAGACGCGAAAGCGUGGGGAGCGAACAGG